rnacentral:rRNA from 1 species
UCAAGUGAAGAAGCGCAUACGGUGGAUGCCUUGGCAGUCAGAGGCGAUGAAAGACGUGGUAGCCUGCGAAAAGCUUCGGGGAGUCGGCAAACAGACUGUGAUCCGGAGGUAUCUGAAUGGGGGAACCCAGCCAUCAUAAGAUGGUUAUCUUGUACUGAAUACAUAGGUGCAAGAGGCGAACCAGGGGAACUGAAACAUCUAAGUACCCUGAGGAAAAGAAAUCAACCGAGAUUCCCUUAGUAGUGGCGAGCGAACGGGGACCAGCCCUUAAGUUGUAUUGAGAUUAGCGGAACACUCUGGAAAGGGUGGCCAUAGUGGGUGAUAGCCCUGUACGCGAAAAUCCCUUUGCAAUGAAAUCGAGUAGGACGGGGCACGAGAAACCUUGUCUGAAUAUGGGGGGACCAUCCUCCAAGGCUAAAUACUACUGACUGACCGAUAGUGAACCAGUACCGUGAGGGAAAGGCGAAAAGAACCGCGGAGAGCGGAGUGAAAUAGAUCCUGAAACCGUAUGCGUACAAGCAGUGGGAGCCCACUUUGUUGGGUGACUGCGUACCUUUUGUAUAAUGGGUCAGCGACUUAUUUUCAGUGGCGAGCUUAACCGAAUAGGGGAGGCGUAGCGAAAGCGAGUCUUAAUAGGGCGUCUAGUCGCUGGGAAUAGACCCGAAACCGGGCGAUCUAUCCAUGGGCAGGUUGAAGGUUGGGUAACACUAACUGGAGGACCGAACCGACUACCGUUGAAAAGUUAGCGGAUGACCUGUGGAUCGGAGUGAAAGGCUAAUCAAGCUCGGAGAUAGCUGGUUCUCCUCGAAAGCUAUUUAGGUAGCGCCUCAUGUAUCACUGUAGGGGGUAGAGCACUGUUUCGGCUAGGGGGUCAUCCCGACUUACCAAACCGAUGCAAACUCCGAAUACCUACAAGUGCCGAGCAUGGGAGACACACGGCGGGUGCUAACGUCCGUCGUGAAAAGGGAAACAACCCAGACCGUCAGCUAAGGUCCCAAAGUCAUGGUUAAGUGGGAAACGAUGUGGGAAGGCUUAGACAGCUAGGAGGUUGGCUUAGAAGCAGCCACCCUUUAAAGAAAGCGUAAUAGCUCACUAGUCGAGUCGGCCUGCGCGGAAGAUGUAACGGGGCUCAAACCAUGCACCGAAGCUACGGGUAUCAUCUUUUGAUGAUGCGGUAGAGGAGCGUUCUGUAAGCCUGUGAAGGUGAGUUGAGAAGCUUGCUGGAGGUAUCAGAAGUGCGAAUGCUGACAUGAGUAACGACAAUGGGUGUGAAAAACACCCACGCCGAAAGACCAAGGUUUCCUGCGCAACGUUAAUCGACGCAGGGUUAGUCGGUGCCUAAGGCGAGGCUGAAAAGCGUAGUCGAUGGAAAACAGGUUAAUAUUCCUGUACUUCUGGUUAUUGCGAUGGAGGGACGGAGAAGGCUAGGCCAGCCUGGCGUUGGUUGUCCAGGUUUAAGGUGGUAGGCUGAGAUCUUAGGUAAAUCCGGGAUCUUAAGGCCGAGAGCUGAUGACGAGUGUUCUUUGAACACGAAGUGGUUGAUGCCAUGCUUCCAAGAAAAGCUUCUAAGCUUCAGGUAACCAGGAACCGUACCCCAAACCGACACAGGUGGUUGGGUAGAGAAUACCAAGGCGCUUGAGAGAACUCGGGUGAAGGAACUAGGCAAAAUGGCACCGUAACUUCGGGAGAAGGUGCGCCGGUGAGGGUGAAGCAUUUACUGCGUAAGCUCAUGCCGGUCGAAGAUACCAGGCCGCUGCGACUGUUUAUUAAAAACACAGCACUCUGCAAACACGAAAGUGGACGUAUAGGGUGUGACGCCUGCCCGGUGCCGGAAGGUUAAUUGAUGGGGUUAGCGCAAGCGAAGCUCUUGAUCGAAGCCCCGGUAAACGGCGGCCGUAACUAUAACGGUCCUAAGGUAGCGAAAUUCCUUGUCGGGUAAGUUCCGACCUGCACGAAUGGCGUAACGAUGGCGGCGCUGUCUCCACCCGAGACUCAGUGAAAUUGAAAUCGCUGUGAAGAUGCAGUGUAUCCGCGGCUAGACGGAAAGACCCCGUGAACCUUUACUAUAGCUUUGCACUGGACUUUGAAUUUGCUUGUGUAGGAUAGGUGGGAGGCUUUGAAGCGUGGACGCCAGUUCGCGUGGAGCCAACCUUGAAAUACCACCCUGGCAACUUUGAGGUUCUAACUCAGGUCCGUUAUCCGGAUCGAGGACAGUGUAUGGUGGGUAGUUUGACUGGGGCGGUCUCCUCCUAAAGAGUAACGGAGGAGUACGAAGGUGCGCUCAGACCGGUCGGAAAUCGGUCGUAGAGUAUAAAGGCAAAAGCGCGCUUGACUGCGAGACAGACACGUCGAGCAGGUACGAAAGUAGGUCUUAGUGAUCCGGUGGUUCUGUAUGGAAGGGCCAUCGCUCAACGGAUAAAAGGUACUCCGGGGAUAACAGGCUGAUACCGCCCAAGAGUUCAUAUCGACGGCGGUGUUUGGCACCUCGAUGUCGGCUCAUCACAUCCUGGGGCUGAAGCCGGUCCCAAGGGUAUGGCUGUUCGCCAUUUAAAGUGGUACGCGAGCUGGGUUUAGAACGUCGUGAGACAGUUCGGUCCCUAUCUGCCGUGGACGUUUGAGAUUUGAGAGGGGCUGCUCCUAGUACGAGAGGACCGGAGUGGACGAACCUCUGGUGUUCCGGUUGUCACGCCAGUGGCAUUGCAGGGUAGCUAUGUUCGGAAAAGAUAACCGCUGAAAGCAUCUAAGCGGGAAACUUGCCUCAAGAUGAGAUCUCACUGGAACCUUGAGUUCCCUGAAGGGCCGUCGAAGACUACGACGUUGAUAGGUUGGGUGUGUAAGCGCUGUGAGGCGUUGAGCUAACCAAUACUAAUUGCCCGUGAGGCUUGACCAU